UGCAAGUCGAGCGAACAGAUGAGAAGCUUGCUUCUCUGAUGUUAGCGGCGGACGGGUGAGUAACACGUGGGUAACCUACCUAUAAGACUGGGAUAACUCCGGGAAACCGGGGCUAAUACCGGAUAAUAUUUUGAACCGCAUGGUUCAAUAGUGAAAGACGGUUUCGGCUGUCACUUAUAGAUGGACCCGCGCCGUAUUAGCUAGUUGGUAAGGUAAUGGCUUACCAAGGCGACGAUACGUAGCCGACCUGAGAGGGUGAUCGGCCACACUGGAACUGAGACACGGUCCAGACUCCUACGGGAGGCAGCAGUAGGGAAUCUUCCGCAAUGGGCGAAAGCCUGACGGAGCAACGCCGCGUGAGUGAUGAAGGUCUUCGGAUCGUAAAACUCUGUUGUUAGGGAAGAACAAAUUUGUUAGUAACUGAACAAGUCUUGACGGUACCUAACCAGAAAGCCACGGCUAACUACGUGCCAGCAGCCGCGGUAAUACGUAGGUGGCAAGCGUUAUCCGGAAUUAUUGGGCGUAAAGCGCGCGUAGGCGGUUUCUUAAGUCUGAUGUGAAAGCCCACGGCUCAACCGUGGAGGGUCAUUGGAAACUGGGAAACUUGAGUGCAGAAGAGGAGAGUGGAAUUCCAUGUGUAGCGGUGAAAUGCGCAGAGAUAUGGAGGAACACCAGUGGCGAAGGCGGCUCUCUGGUCUGUAACUGACGCUGAUGUGCGAAAGCGUGGGGAUCAAACAGGAUUAGAUACCCUGGUAGUCCACGCCGUAAACGAUGAGUGCUAAGUGUUAGGGGGUUUCCGCCCCUUAGUGCUGCAGCUAACGCAUUAAGCACUCCGCCUGGGGAGUACGACCGCAAGGUUGAAACUCAAAGGAAUUGACGGGGACCCGCACAAGCGGUGGAGCAUGUGGUUUAAUUCGAAGCAACGCGAAGAACCUUACCAAAUCUUGACAUCCUUUGACCGCUCUAGAGAUAGAGUCUUCCCCUUCGGGGGACAAAGUGACAGGUGGUGCAUGGUUGUCGUCAGCUCGUGUCGUGAGAUGUUGGGUUAAGUCCCGCAACGAGCGCAACCCUUAAGCUUAGUUGCCAUCAUUAAGUUGGGCACUCUAGGUUGACUGCCGGUGACAAACCGGAGGAAGGUGGGGAUGACGUCAAAUCAUCAUGCCCCUUAUGAUUUGGGCUACACACGUGCUACAAUGGAUAAUACAAAGGGCAGCGAAUCCGCGAGGCCAAGCAAAUCCCAUAAAAUUAUUCUCAGUUCGGAUUGUAGUCUGCAACUCGACUACAUGAAGCUGGAAUCGCUAGUAAUCGUAGAUCAGCAUGCUACGGUGAAUACGUUCCCGGGUCUUGUACACACCGCCCGUCACACCACGAGAGUUUGUAACACCCGAAGCCGGUGGAGUAACCUUUUAGGAGCUAGG
rnacentral:rRNA from 1 species